AAGACAUGUUGAUGUUUGAUACUUGCGUGAUAAGAAAUCAUUUGUUACCUGCUGAGUUUUUUGGUCUUCUCGUCGUUCCCUGUCAGAUGCUUGAGCUCCUCUGAUGGAAGCACCAUGCCGCUGUCGCUCUGCUCCUCCUGAAGCCAACAAAUCCAUGACCACCGUCGCCCCCAAAAGGAACCUCAAAGACUAGCUUUGGGGUGGUCCACGCGGCUGACCUGCUGCCCCAUGGACUGUAGCAGGUCCCCCAGGGUCUCCACCAGCUGGGAGAAGGAGGGUCGCUCGCUAGGCUCGGCCUCCCAGCACGCCAGCAUGCCGUGCUGUACUCCGGCGCUCUCAUCCUGGUUCCUGCCUUCAGUCUGUGGCAGAACUCCUCGUCGAUGUGGAGACCGGGGUACGGGGACGCUCCUAGUGGACACGUGUGGUAUUACACCCGCAAAGCUUCCAGGACUCCUGAGAGCGAGAGCUCUUACCCAAAGAGAAGAUCUCCCAGAGGAGAACACCAAAGGACCAGACGUCACUUUGAGUGGUGAACACUUUGUCAAAAAUGGACUCUGGAGACAUCCACUUAAGAGGAAGGCGGGCCUGUCAGCCAAUCACAGCACAUUAUUUAUGUUAACAACAACAACGCUCUGGACAGUGUGUGUGCUCACGUCUCCCUUGCGGACGUAGUCGGGGUCUUUGUAGAUGUCUCUGGCCAGUCCAAAGUCGCAGAUCUUCACCACUUGGUUGUCUGCCAGGAGGACGUUGCGGGCUGCCAGGUCUCGAUGAAUACACUACAGACCACAAACAACACUCAGACCUUUCGAAAGGCCAGGAAGUCCAUCCCUCUUGCCACCUGGAAGCUGAAGGAGAUGAGGUCCUCCAGGAACAAAGCUGUGUUGGAAGGCAAUAUGUCGUCAAAAGCAAAAAAAAUAGAUAUUUCUCCUGUAAUUAUUGUAUAAAAUACUGCUGCAAUCAUUUGUUCUUGUUACAAAGAAUGAAUGUGACUGCCACGUGUGCUGGCUUACUGUCAUCCAAGUCUGAGCCUGUCUGCAUAUCACAACUUUUUUCUCUGCCCUUUCUUUGUCCCCCCUGAGAAAAAAAGCAUAGAUAGAUAAUGACAUAGAAACCUGUUCUAGUAAAGAAUGCAUGAAUCGACCAUAGAUAAACUAACGCCUGGAAUGCAGAACUUCAGGAGGAUGUUGGAGAGGAAGCAUCACACGACGCAUCACUACAAGGUUUAGACUAGGACAGUAUAAACGGCUGGUGAGGGUAUAUAUUACUCCGCUUGUGCGCAGAUACCACAUGUUCUAAAUGUUGGACUGAGAGCGUGAGAAGCGAGCGCCUUACUUCACUGUAUGUGGAAAUGUAAAUUGCAAUGUUCCGGAAAGAUGUCUUGGAAUGCUGACAACGAAAGUACCUCCGAGUGCUUGACUGCAUAUCGUUGGAAUACACCCAAAGGACUUGGGUGACAUGUCAAAUAAAAAACAGGUAUUGGACUCUGGAUUCUUGCAGGCUAGAAGAGCUAUUGCACCCUGUUGGAUGAAUACUGACGCUCCUACACUGGGGUUGGGGUUGUGGAAGAAAGAACUUGUUAGGACUUGAGCCAUGAACAUAUCAUUUCAAGGGUAAAGAAGUAUUUCUAUAAUCUCUGGGAACCAACAUGAACUUGUCACAAAGAGGCGUACUUCCUAGUUUGUUUAGAGAAAUGGUCAUUUUUACACCGCACCUUUUGGUGACAUUUUUUUAGGGAAGUAAACUUGAGGGCCUGUGGGCAAGAUAAGGUCUUUAAACCUCAAAACGAGAUUGCAGAAGUGACUUGUGCUUUUUUUCUUUCUAAAUAAUUUGGAAAUGUUUAUAUGUUGUUAAAGUUGUGAAAACCAUGCGUGUGAAUGUUCCUGAUAGCAGCUUUUUUUUCCGGUGCAGACGCUCAUUUGCUCACCCUGUUGUGCACAAACACCUCUCGCUUGCUCUUCAGGAAGCUCGAGAGGUUUCCAUAGCGACAGAACUCAACGAUGACCAUGAGUGG